AUCGCUUCUCGGCCUUUUGGCUAAGAUCAAGUGUAGUAACUGUUCUUAUCAGCUUAAUAUCUGAUAUGUCCUCUAUAUGAGGACUACAUAUUAAGCAGAUUUUUGGCAAGAGGAGCAGAUAUUUGGAGCUUGCUCCCUUCUCUCCACGCAUCGACCUAGCAUUGCAGUGCCGCUGGGAACGGUGCACUCUGU